rnacentral:rRNA from 1 species
AUACGGAGGCAGCAAGCGUUGUUCGGAAUUACUGGGCGUAAAGGGCGCGCAGGCGGUUUGGUAAGUCAGAUGUGAAAUUCACCGGCUCAACCGGUUGAACUGCAUCCGAUACUGCCAGACUUGAGAUCAGUAGAGGAGAGUGGAAUUCCCAGUGUAGCGGUGGAAUGCGUAGAUAUUGGGAAGAACACCGGUGGCGAAGGCGGCUCUCUGGACUGAUUCUGACGCUGAGGCGCGAAAGCUAGGGGAGCGAACAGGAUUAGAAACCCCAGUAGUCC